GAUGAAGAACGCAGCGAAAUGCGAUAAGUAAUGUGAAUUGCAGAAUUCAGUGAAUCAUCGAAUCUUUGAACGCACAUUGCGCCCGCUAGUAUUCUGGCGGGCAUGCCUGUCCGAGCGUCAUUUCAACCCUCAAGCCCCCGGGCUUGGUGUUGGGGAUCGGCGAGCCUCCGCGCCCGCCGUCCCCUAAAUCUAGUGGCGGUCUCGCUGUAGCUUCCUCUGCAUAGUAGCACACCUCGCACUGGGAAACAGCGCGGCCACGCCGUUAAACCCCCAACUUCUGAACGUUUGACCUCGGAUCAGGUAGGAAUACCCGCUGAACUUAAGCAUAUCAAUAAGCGGAGGA
rnacentral:misc_RNA from 1 species